GAUGAACGCUGGCGGCGUGCUUAACACAUGCAAGUCGAACGGAAAGGCUCCUGCUUGCAGGGGUACUCGAGUGGCGAACGGGUGAGUAACACGUGGGUGAUCUGCCCUGCACUUCGGGAUAAGCCUGGGAAACUGGGUCUAAUACCGGAUAGGACGAUGGUUUGGAUGCCAUUGUGGAAAGUUUUUCGGUGUGGGUUGAGCUCGCGGCCUAUCAGCUUGUUGGUGGGGUAAUGGCCUACCAAGGCGUCGACGGGUAGCCGGCCUGAGAGGGUGGACGGCCACAGGGGGACGGAGAGACGGGGCAGAGGCCGACGGGAGGCAGCAGGGGGGAAGAGUGCAGAAGGGGGGGAGGGGGGAGGCAGCGACGCCGCGUGGGGGAUGACGGCCUGCGGGGGGUAAGCGCCGGGAGAAAGAGAGGAAGCCACGUGGUUGGAAGGGUGGGGAAGGGAGUGGGAGAAGAAGCAACGGCUAACUACGGG
rnacentral:rRNA from 1 species